rnacentral:tRNA from 1 species
UGCCCCUUGGUGUAAUUGGUUAGUCACAUAGGAUUUUGAUUCCUAUAGUAUCAGUUCAAGUCUGGUAGGGGUAA